ensembl:lncRNA
CCUCGGUGUUGGGCGCAGGGCGCCCAAGGUGCGCAGAUUUGAGAAAGUCCAAUUUCUGACCAUGCCACACGGCCCUCAGGGACUCCAAGGUGAACAUCUUGUUAGAGUCAGAGACGCACACCGGCGGGUCGUCAGGGCUCUCCUGCCUCUCUCCCAUUUUCAGCAGCACUUGUUUCCUAAUGCACAAGAAAUCCAGGAGCCACAGCAUAACUGCGGCCAGAAGGAACCGGGGCAGCAGCAUCAGGCAGAGGGCUGCAUGCUUCAGCGCCUUCGCCAUUUGGACACCGCCGGAGUCGUCCAUCAUCUCUCCCCCAGCUGAUAGGAUGAGACUGUGCCGGCAAACGAGACAACUGGUAUUUAGUCACCUUUACCCAUUGGAGAAAACUAUCUGACGCACGCAGGCACUCUUUUUAUAGGUACAGCAGCGUUUGAAUAAUGAGGGGGGGGGACACGCCUCCGGUACCCGCACCGCCCACUCACAUGGUGGGGAUUACCUCCCGUCAACUCUGGGCUUCAAAGAUCCACAAAGACAUGGGAAGCGCGAGAGGAAGAUAUAUUGAGAGGUUGAAUGUUGAUAACACAUAACAGUUCUCUAUCUUUUGGGGUUUGUUUUGUUUAUUUAUUUAUUUUUUCUUUUUUGUACUUUAUUGGGCAUGUAGACUUCGUACGGUUAGUUCAGAAAGUAGGCAAAACAUUUGAUUCACUUCAUGCUUCAGCGGCCUCUACGGCCACUAGACGGCGCUGGAUUCAUACAGACCAUCUAGGCUGGAUGAGUCAUUCGCUUCGUCUAGGGCCCCUCAACAUAUUGUUAGGAAAAGGAGGCAGCAUAAACCUGCCAUCACCAGUUUCAAAAUUGAAGUGCGUGUGUCUGUGCCCGUGAUCAUGGCAAAACAUGAUCCCAAAGACAAACUGAAGGAGGAAAUAAUCACUGUGCUGUUUUGAGCAACAUUUGGGCAGUGCUGUGUAGGUGAGAUUAAAAUGAAGGUUCGUCUAUGGGAGCUAUGAACAGUGAGUAGGCCAUGCUGAGCUGGGCUUUGGGGUUAUUGUAAGAUAAAAUUCCGUUAUUUUGUCAGCAACUUUUUGUUCCUGACUGUCUGGUCUAGUAAAAGAUGAUUAAAC